GCCGCAGUAUAUUAACUGUGCAAAGGUAGCAUAAUCAUUUGUUAUUUAAUUGAUAACUGGAAUGAAUGGUUUUAUAAAAAAUAUUCUUUUUUUAUUUUUAAUUUAAAAUUUUAUUUUAAAGUUAAAAAGCUUUAAUUUAUUUAUUAGACGAUAAGACCCUUUAGAACUUUAAUAUUAUUUUGAAUUAUAUUUUUAGUUUUAUAAAUAUAAAUUAUUUAUAUAUUUUUGUUGGGGUGAUAAUUAAUUUUUUAAAACUUUAAUUUAUAUUUAUUCAUAGAUUUAUGAUUUUUUUGAUCCAAUUUUUUUGAUUAUAAGAUUAAGUUACCUUAGGGAUAACAGCGUAAUUUUGUUGGAGAGUUCUUAUUAAUAACAAAGUUUGCGACCUCGAUGUUGGAUUAAA
rnacentral:rRNA from 1 species